CCAACUCAAAAAUAAAAGGGGUGAUACCCCUAUACUCUUCAUUUCCUCAUCCAAACGCCUCCCUACCCUCCCCUUUCCCUUUCCCUUCGCGAAAAACCCUAGCCGCCAUACUUUUUUUUCUCUCUCAGUGUCAGCAUCCCAAAAUGGAUAAUGGCACAGUGUGCUUUCACUUUAUGCAGUCAUGGUUCGGUCGUUUGAGGCAAAAAAUUAAUGCUUCAUCUCCAAACGACGCCAAAUGCGACCUUAUCACGUGCUGGGAUUGAGGAAACAAGGUUCUUCCAAGUCUAAUCUCUUCCAAGGCUGUGCAUCAAAGAGGUAAUCCCCUCUCGUGUUUAUUUUUUGAGUAUUUUAUUUGGUCUAUUAAUUGUUUUUUUUCCUAUUAAGUGUUUAUGUUAAGUGUUUAUAUGUCUAUUUUGGUUUAGUUAAAGUUUGGUAUGUCUCUGUAAUAGGUAUUCAUAGCAUGUUUAGGCAGUUUAGUUUAGUUUAGUUGCAUCAUUUACUGUUUAGAUGACUUGAAGGGUAAUUAGUUUGUUGGCUAAGACAUGUUGAGUGAUUAGUUUGAUUGGUAUGUAUGGCAAAACAUGUUUUGUAUUAACUAGCUUCAGCCUGUUUAUUUAGGUGUAUGAAUAGCUUAAUCAGACAAGCACAUGUAUAUAAAGAUUAACCUGGGUUGAUUUGUUUAAAACAUGCUCUAUUUGUGAUUUGGUUGGUUGAUGUGGAUUAAGGUAGUAGGAAAUGGUUAGGUUCAAUACAUUGUUGGUUCUGAGUUUUGUUCUAAGUGUAUGUUAGUUUGGCCCAGUCUGCUGUCCUGUUAUGGAGAAAUAAGUGAUAAAGUUAUAGUUUGUUGGGAAUUCAUGAUGAGAAAUGUAGUCUCAUGGUCUGAAAGCUGUGAUAUUGGUUGAACAUGGUAGUACUAGCUGUCUAGUUCAUUUUUGUGACCUUGUUGUUUGAUUUACUGAGUCUCGGGUAGUCCUGACCUGUUCUAAUACCUGCUUUAUUGCCAUUAGUGCUCCUUUUGUUUCAAUAUUGUGCACUGUUAAGUCCUUGCAAUAUCAUCUAAAUAUGGGCAAUGUGAACAUUGUUAUGUCAACUGAUUAAUGCCAUGCCUGGUUCUGAUCUAGAAUACUUUAAAGCAUGAUACAUAGUUUAAAUGUUCCAUUGGUUGGUGAUCUCAUAGACUGCUGAAAUCUUAUCCCUUGCUUAUGAAAUGUUUGAGUUUGGCUCAAGGUCCCUCUGGUUGUAAUAAGCAUGAUUAGUUCUGUUAAGUUUUCAGUUUGAUCCCUGUAAAGCAUCCUGGUGUCUUGUUCAUAGUGCAUAAGGUCACUAAUGACUUUUGAUCCUGAUAUAAUGUGAUAGGCGUCUUUGUGAUAGUUUGCUUAAUCUCAGUGCUGCCUCUGUAAUAUUGUUCCAUUGAUGACAUAAAAUGCCAUUAAACCUGAAGAAUACUGCCUCUUUAAGACUCAGUAAUACUUAACUGGUUUUUAAAAAUGACUAGCCCUUAUGUAUAAUCUCAUCAUGGCCCUAUUUUCCCAAAACUAUAAACUUAUAUCUAAGUCCAUGAUAGACUAAUUGAUUUGGUAAGUGGCCAACACCUUUGUAUGCUCCUCUGAUGUCUGUUCUAAGUUGAGAGACUUUCAUUCUAUUGAUGAUUCAGUGUCUUAAGUCUCAAAGUAAAAAUGGUAUGUAAGAAAGGUUUAAAAGAUUCUGAACUUAACAACUGUGGAUUUGGUUAAUGAUUUGUGGAAUCCUGCAAGUUUCUUUGGGGUGCUCUGUUGGGAAAAUCUGCACUUUGUAUCUUACCUGACUCUGCUGUACAUGCCUAUUUCAUCUUCCAUGACCUUAAAUGACUGCUUUUCUAUGUUUAGAAAAUGUCAACAGUAGACCUAAGUACAAUGUAAACAAGCAAUGAGUAGGGACCUAGACUGAAAGUGAGUGUGUUCUAGGACUUAUGUGAUUCAUGAUGUUUAACAUGUCAAGCUUUCUUCCUGUGGCAUGUAUGCUUCCCCUGUCUCUAAAUUAAACAUUGUUGUUGUCAUGUUAAUGUCAAAAUUGAAGCUUCUAUAUUUACUGAAUCUGAAUGGACAGUUAUUGAAAUCAGCAUGACACAUCAGUAGACUAGACAAAAACCAUUGACCUAUAUGUUCCCUAAUUGAUUCUUAUUUGGGGUUAUAAGGACCACACUAUUUGUUGUUUAGCCUAUGCUUUAGCUGAAAUUACACUGACACUUAGUGAGGUGUGUAAAUGAAUGUUGAUGGCUAAAUUAACAAAGUAUAAAUUGUAUGAUGCUUGUAAUAAAACUGCAUUCGUUCACUCUCUCUUGUUUGAUAGCAUCUUUCAUAUGAAGGAUUGAGUUUGUUCCCUCUGUAUAUGGAACUUGUUACGAAUUUCCUUCAUCCUACUUAGUGUUAACCAGCAUACUGCAUGUUGUGUCUAUGCACUUUACCUUAUUUCCUAUGUAUGCAUGGAGUUGGUGUUAAGUGUCUUAUUUUUCAAACUCUCUUUGCCUUUUCCUUGUUGAAUUCUCCAUAUAUAUGGAAGGUAUACCCUUUGAUAUACAAGGUAUAUUUAACUUCAUAUACACUCCAGUAUAUAUGAAGUGAUAUAUUUGGUGUAUAGAAGUGUAUAUUCCUUCAUUUCUUUAUAAUAUAAUUGGUGUUGUGUGGGCUUAUGCCAUUUCAUGACUAUUGGGCCUCUGUUUUAAUGAAAUGAGUAUUUUGUCCAAUCUACUCAUACUCCCUUCUCUUUUGAUGGUUUAUUUUAAGUUUGGGCUUUGUUUAUCUUAACCAGGAAUUUGUUUCAUCCGCAUGUUUAUUUAACUUAUAUGUUUCACCCUAGCUGAUUAUGUGAUUAUUUGAAUACAUAGAAGCAGAUACUAAUCUUUAUCAUUUUGUGUGUUUAUGUGAAAUCCUCCUUGGGCCACUCGGGCCACUUUCCUGCACUACACCUGUUGGGCCAGAGGUCCAACUCUCUUUAUUUUUUAUCGAGUCCGUGAGAGAAAUGACAAGGGAAGCUAACAUAUUGAAGGCCCACUCAUGGGUGAAAAUGGCACUGAUGGGCUUGGGUAGGCCCAUCAAUUGAAAUCUACUUUCUUCUCUCCUUUACUUCACAUAUAUCUUGCAUGUAUACAUGCUGUAUAAGUAAAAACGCUUGGAAAUUUUGGAAGCCUUAUGUAUGUUUAGAACUUAGGAAGAAAAAUACACUUAGUAUCUUCGGGAAGUCGCCUAAAACAUUUUCAAAGUUCGGCUAAUCUCAAACUUGUAUGAAAUUGAUACUUAUUUUGAUUU